rnacentral:rRNA from 1 species
CAGUGACCAGUUUAAACGGCCGCGGUACCCUAACCGUGCAAAGGUAGCAUAAUCACUUGUCUCCUAAAUAGAGACUAGAAUGAAUGGCUAUAUGAAGACUAAGCUGUCUCUUGCAGCCCGCCUAUGAAACUGAUCUCUUAGUUAAAAAGCUAAGAUUUUUCCGCAAGACGAGAAGACCCUGUGGAGCUUCAAACCAGACUCAUAGCAUGACACACCGGUUUUUAGUUGGGGCGACUUCGGAGAAUAAAAAAUCCUCCGACCAAACACAAUAGGAGAUCAACAUAUCAAAGUAUAAUUAGACCCAGUAGUAUUAUUAUUAACUGAUUAACGAACCAAGUUACCCCAGGGAUAACAGCGCCAUCCUCUUCUAGAGUCCCUAUCGACAAGAGGGCUUACGACCUCGAUGUUGGAUCAGGACACCCCUAUAGUGCAACCGCUAUUAACGGUUCGUUUGUUCAACGAUUAAAGUCCUACGUGAUCUGAGU